rnacentral:rRNA from 1 species
UAUGUAGGCGGACUAGUAAGUUGGGUGUGAAAUCCCUUGGCUUAACCAAGGAACUGCACUCAAAACUGCUAGACUUGAGUUUGGGAGAGGAAAAUGGAAUUCCAGGUGUAAGAGUGAAAUCUGUAGAUAUCUGGAGGAACACCAGUUGCGAAAGCGAUUUUCUGGCCCAAAACUGACGCUGAAAUACGAAAGCUAGGGGAGCAAACAGGAUUAGAUACCCUGGUAGUCC